AUAAUCUGGAUUAAACUAAAAGUUCUUCAAAUUAGCUAAUAAGUUCUGAGCAAACUUAAAAUAAACUAUCAAAGCAAAGCAAAAGGUUUAGAGGCUCCAAAAAACUCCCCAAAGUCACAAACUAGCGAUAGCAGCUCAGAAAACUCAAACAGGAACCCAAAUUGGGCGAACGAGUUCUCUACUGAGAGCAACUCAGUAAGCAAUAUUGGAGGCUGUUGCUAAGCAACCGCCAGACCCAGGAAAGCUGGUGCGAAAGGGAAGCGACUCUAAGCCACUGCGGAGGCAAACACCAGGCUGUGGAAUUAAAGGGGCAGAACAAGGAGGCGUCAUCAAACUGGUCCAGAGUCAAAGCAGGAAGAGCAGCGAUAAUCCGCUUCAAGAGUGCAGGGUCACUAAAUCUGGGAAGCUAGUGCCUGGGAAGGAGAAGAAUCUAAUUUCGUUACUUUUGUAUCCUGGAUAGAGGACAGCUGUCUACCAGAAAGCUCUGGCUGCAUUUCCUGCACUGAGCAGGGAGCCUCCCAGCCCUGUCGUUCUCGGAUUCUCAAUCUCUGGUCCUGCAGAUGUCCCGGAGGCUUGACUAAUAAUCAGGAAUUCUGGGAGCAGAAACUCAAAACAUCUGGAAGAUUUUUAAAAAGUGAAGAAUCACUGGUUUAGGGGAUUUUCGGCAAUGUAACUGGUUAUUAAACUUUGAAAAAGCCCCCACAAAAUAUUCUGUCAAGAAAAAUUACAGCAUACAAAGGCUGUGUUUUACUUUUCAAAAUCCCCCAUUUUCCCAUCAGAAUCUUCAUUUCUUUAUCCAAAUAUAGAACAAAAAAUAUGUCUUCAUCAUUACCCCUUGACUCCUGGUUGGGAUGCAAAUCUGAUGUCUAUGGACUGAGAAAGAACUGGUGAAUGAAGCCAUGAUCUUUUCCCAUUUUGUGCUGAACUUGCAGUCAUGCUCUUCUCAUAAUAAUGCCAGCAGCCUUGAAAGGCUUCCUCCUAUCUGGCAGGUGCAGCAAAGCUACAAGAUGCUGGAAUGAAAUUAAGCAUUUGAAACAUCAUUUUUAUUUGCAAGUCAUUUUUCAAUGAAAUCAAAUAAUAUACAUUUCCUCCAACCAUCAAGACCUAGGAUUUCAUCACACAAGACUGUCUAAACACUAUGUCCAUUCUGCUGCUGCUUUAUAUUCCAUCCAUUAGUGUAGCACACCUUUAAAUUGACAGGUAAAAUCCAUCAAUGGCUGUCAAAAUCACCUUAUCGCCUUUCCUUUAAUGACUUCUGCUUCAUUGCCAAUAUACUAUUUGUAAAAACAAUUUUUGAGUUCAGAAUUCACAGUGCUCAUCUGCACUAGAGGAUUAUGGGCCAUGUAAUGCAAAAAAAGUGUUAUUUUCACAUUUUGAAGCAACGCUUCCAUGGUUUUCAAGCUUUCUGCCUUCAAGGAACAUCUGUUCAUCUACCAUUGAAGAACCUCAUACAUUGAUGAGCCCAUGAAGAAGUGUUUUGGAGGCAAUCACUCAGUUCACAUGGUCGGUAGCCAGGGCUGUGAGGUCUAAUGCCUCCCACCUCCCCAUCCAUUUACCCACACAUACAUGGGGAGGGUGCCAACAAUAGACCCAUUACUCUGCUGUGAGAUAUUUCACUAAAGUUUGCUUCCUAUUUUUGGGCUUUAUACUGAAGAUCUUAAAAUAUUUUCCUCAGGAAAACGAGGGGACACAGCCUGAAAGCCAUUGUCAAGCCAUUCAUCUAACUCCUAGAUAUCAUGAAAGGGUAUGAAUGGCUGCUGCAACUGCGAGGUCAAAAGCCCCAGUAGAUUUCUCUUGGGUUCUUUAAAAACUUCCUUAACCGUUUCAUGGUUUAUGAUUAACAGAAGUGGAAAGGAAAGUUCACUACGAUCCUUUUUUAUAACAGUAGUAUAAAUUCUUCAUCUACCAUGAAUAAGAAAUUAUCCUUAUCUCUUUUUGAUGAUCAAAGUUAUUAUUUUAUGACUUGGACAUCUCUUCGCAAUGUUAUCCUCUAAAAUAUAUAAAUGGGAACUGGAUUCCCACAAUCGUCUUAUCUAUAUUCAGCAGUUUUGAGAUAAGACUUUGGAAAUCAAAAGAGUUUUCACAUCUUUAGAAGGACAGUGAACUUAGAGCAAUAAAAUAAUCAAUUCACUCAACAGACAGGAGGGCAAGAAUGUUCCCUCAAAGCUGCUGGGAGGAAAAAGAAGCACAUAGGAUUAAUUAUAAAUGAAAUCUGACAACCUUAAUAGAUGGCAGUGAUAAGUCAUUCUGGAUUCUUUUUGAAGAAAAUAAAUUCCUUUCUACCUCUUAUUUCAUAAUUGGCUCCUUUGGUUUCUUCACCAUUAUUUACUUCAGUUUCCCCUCCCUAUGGCCUUCUAUAUUUGAGGAUGGAUGUCCGGAAAAGAAUCCAUUACUAUCUACUGAUUUACUGACUGAAGUGUAGACUCAAAAGAAGAAAAUGUACUAAAGCUGAAAGGUGUUUUAUGGCCUUUAAUGCAAACAAAUAUUUUGCAGCAUGAUCAAUUUCAUUUGAUAUGUGGAGAAAUCUGCAUGUUGAUAGGCAUCUAGGUAUUGGGGUUGGUCUCUACAUUCUGGAUGAAGUCAAGAUAAGUGCACCAAUGAAGCAAAGUUGUAUUUUCUCGUACUCACUGUUACCAGCAAGUACAACAGCUACUCUCUUCCUGCAACCCAUUGUUCAUUUGAUAUAAUUUGUAUGAUAGUACUAAUACCAGAUGGGAGAAUUAACCUUAAGACAGUUAACAUCAGAUUUGCUAUGACACAGUAAAGCCAUAUUCAAGUCCACCUCAAUUUUAUUUAAAGCUAUCUACAAUACAACUACUUUAUCCACUGAGAAAAUACCCCCCCCCCCCCCAAACAAAAAAACGUGUUUCUGGGCAUGUCUAGAUCCUCCAGUGCAAUUCUAUGCAAUGCUUCCAGCCCAAAUAAAGUCAAAAGAUAGAGUUCACUGUUCUCCAUUUUUUUUCAAGUAUCCAGAAAGAGGGGCAUAGAAUGUAUUCCCCAUGGAUUUGGGGGUUGUACAGUAUAGAAACUUUUGGAAAACCAAAAAAUCCUAUACUACAUUAAUGUUGCCCAUAUAUAUUUCAGAGGAACAAAUUAGCAAAAUCACUUCUGAAUAUUCCUUGCUUAAGUAACCCUAUGAAAGUAAUUGGGUGACCAUAAUUUGACAGGAAACUUGAUCUGGUUGUCCACUAUAAUUGGUAAAUUAAAGGAGUUAUUGAUUGGUAAAUGAAUUGAGUAAAUUGUUAAAUGAAUUGGUAAAUGAAAGAUGUUGACAAGCUGGAAGGUGUCCAGAGGAGGGAGACUAAAAUGAUCAAGGUGUCAGGACCCAGGCUGCAGAGAUCCGUGGAACAAGGCAGGGCUGGGAACUUGAUUCAGGAGCUGGGAACUUGAUUCAGGAGCUGGGAACUGGAGUACGUAGUCUACACGCGAUCUCACUCCACGAGCUGACGAAUUGACUCCGCAAGGAAUUCUUUGUGGCCAACAUCUAUAUAGGAUCCUGUUUUCCCGCCAAAGCACACUUUCUCUGGGGAACAAGAACCGAAACCUAUACUGUCCAGAUGCAAGACUCCUUAAACUUUCCCAAGGGAAAUAGACUUAAUCAUCUAAUUGUCUGGCAGCUAUCCGAGCGCUUCUGCGAGUCGCCUCCCGCGCGUGUCUAUCUUGAUUAUAAUAAAGGCGGCGAGAAAAUGGGGGAGAUUUCGACUCAAGGCUUGUUUGACUGUCUUCUUGUGGGCAAACAUCCUGCAGCUGCAAGGGCUCCAAAUCUGGCAGAAACGGUGGGAAACCCAAGUUUUCCUCUUCAUCUGCCACAACAGUACUAGGAACAGGACUACAUGGCCCAUGAGACAUCACACAAGGGUCUAGAGAACAAGACCUAUGAGGAGUGGCUGAAAGAGCUGGGCAUGUUUAGCCUGAAGAAAAGAAGGCUGAGAGGAGACAUGAUGAGGGCCAUGUAUAAUAUGUGAGGGGAAGCCAUAGGGAGGAGGGAACAAGCUUGUUUUCUGCUGCCCUGGAGACUAGGACACGGAACAAUGCCUUCAAACUACAGGAAAGGAGAUUCCACCUGAACAUCAGGAAGAACUUCCUACUGUGAGAGCUGUUCAGCAGCGGAACUCUCUGCCACAGAGUGUGGUGGAGGCUCCUUCUUUGGAGGCUUUUAAGCAGAGGCUUGAUGACCAUUGGUUGGGGAUGCUUUGAAUGUGAUUUUCCUUCUUCUUGGCAGGGGGCUGGACUGGAUGACCCAUGAGGUCUCUUCCAACUCUAUGAUUGUAUGCUUCUAUAAAAUGGAACUGUUUAUAGACCAGGCCGGCCUGCUACUCAAAAUCAGUGUAGGCCAUUGUUUUCCAGAUUUUGGUUUAUGCUUCAGCUGGGAGCAUUUAUUUAUUUAUUUAUUUAUUUAUUUUAAUUUUAUUUAUGCCUGGCCUUUCUCUUUGUAGGGACUCAAGUCAGCUAACAAUCCCACACUAGACAAGUUUUAAAUGUGUGAUACAAAAGUUAAAAAAAAAAAACAAUCAAAUAGUAACUGUGUGGUAAAAACAGAAUUAAAAUACAACCAAUACACUUAAAGUGGCCAUAAGAAAUCUGCCCUUACAGAAUUAUAACCAAGGAGGGAGGCUGUCAAUUGAAGGUAUGAUUCAUGUACCUUGAAGAUUUGUGAUAUCAUCUGUACCAAUCAUCUCUCCACUGAUGCAGAUGACAACUGUACAACCUGCUGUUGAGCUCAUAGUCACUCUGAGCAAUCCCACUCAAUAGCCCAUCUGCUGACAAUAACCUCUUCCUACGUAGAUGGCUAAGCAUCCAAUAGCAUGCAUAUAGUCUGUGGUUGAGACCAUACCCAAACUAUUAUCAAAGGGGUAGAACCUGUCAAAGCUUAUGUUUUGCAGGCAUAGCUAUAUUGAGCCCAGGGUGAUGUGGAGGUGACCCUGGGCUCAAUAUGGCUUAUGCAGAAUAAGAGACAGACAUUUUGGGAUAUGUGUGAGGAAUGCAAGUAGCACCUAUGCUAAGACCCUGUUUGCCCCUUUACUUAAUCAUUGAGAGGUGACUAGUCAACAAAGCAGUUGUUAAUGUUAUUUAAUUGUGGACAAGGCAGAUAACUUUAGAUAUGACUGAGAUCUGGCUGAAGCAUGGGUUGUACUCAAUUGGAAGGAAUUGUCAGAAAAAUUCAUCUCAGCACUUCAUCAAGAGUCAAAGGGGAUUCCACAAGACUUCCUACCUGCACGUAUAACUUCCAGCCUGAAAUAACUAUUAAUCUCUGACAUGAUCCUACUGUGUUUAUCAUUUAAGGUACUUAAUCAAACAUGCCAAAGUUAUCAUCCCAGGCCUGCCUCAGAAUAUUCCCCACAGUAUUGGGUUUCUGAUGCACACGGUGAGAGCCUAUUCGAGCUGACAAAUAAUGUCACGUCAGAUUAUCUGCAUCUGUUUUGUAAAUAAUUAAAUAAAAAUUGUAAGAGUUACAAAAUUGGGUUCUGGUUUUAGCAACGAUCAGCUCUACCCAAGUCCUGCUUCCUAUUGCUCUUUUAUCACAGAUCUUAUCUGUAGAACUAGCUAGGAAUUCUGUCUCUCAGGCAACAAAAAAGGGGAAUAUGAUGUCAUUUGCCUGUGGGGAUCAGAGAAAGGGCAUGGUGUAAGAAGUAAAAUAAAUCUCAAAGAUGAGAACAGUACAGCAGGUAACAAAGCUGGCCUCUAGCACCAGGCAAGUAUCUACGAUGGACUUUGACGUUGAAAGCUCGCUGACAAGUGAACCCAACAUAGAGAGCUCAUGGAACAAAUACCUGCAGGUCCAGAAAGGAACAAAGGGCUGCAUGUUUCCAGAUCAAUAGCAGGUAGAACGUCAAAGAGCUACCUGCUGUGUCUGUUAGUACCAGAGGAAAACUCUGCAGAGGAUGGGAGGGACAGGACAUAUUUAUACUGUUCAACAUUGAAGCACACUGCACACCAAGGAAAAGAGUGUCUCUGUUCUCCAUUCAGUGCUGAGUGUUUUACUGAAGGCAACAAAAUGGAAGAGUUGGCUAUACAGUUAUGUCCAAGGACCCCAGAACUGAAUAUUUUGGGGGACAAAGGACUCAAUGUUGGCAGUGUGAGAAGCUUCGGUGAGAGAAGCCCCAGGCUGAAGGCCUCAUGUGUGAAGCUCCAGUGUGAAGGCUGCUGUGUGUAAAGUUGCUGUGUGUAAAGCUGUGGUGUGAAGCUCCUGUGUAAGUUCUGCGUGAGAGGAGGCUCUGUGAAAGCAAAGCUGUUUAUCUGCAUGAGAAAGAAGCCCAGUGUGGAAGCAAAGAAAGAAGUAUAAAGAACUUAAUUUCUGUUAUGGAAACCUUGUUUUUGUAAAUAGAGCAACCAUAUUAUUUUGCUUCAAAGAAAAGCCUCCAAAGGAAGAGAUAACAUUGGUCUGUGUGUUUUUGUUCUUUGUAUUGCUUUUGGCUACUGGUGUUGGGUCAUGCUGCUGCUAAUAAGUUACUCUGCUAUACGUUUAUGGGGAGGGUCCUUUGUUAAUAAGCCCACUCACCCAACAGGGUCUGCAUCCCCAAAGGGGGUUGGUUGAGCCCACCCACACCACUACCCUUACCCUGUUCUAGGGUCCAGGAUUACAAAUAAAGUAAUUUAGAAGGACCAUACUUUUUCUGAAAGAAUCAGGUGAAGUACUGAAUAAUAACAGAAAGCUUGGCGUUCAUUAAUACAGUACUGCAAGAAUAGUAUAUGAGGUAAGCUGUCCUCAAAUAACAAUGCUGCUGCAAAGAAAGAAAAAUAUGACAUUUACAGACAAGCAAGUCACAAACAGGAAGGAAGGAAGCCUGUCAGAUCACACAGAAAGCUACUAAUUCCAUAGAAAAGAUAUUAUUUUGGAACAUAACUAACACAGUCCCCCAACCAGAAAAUAUCUGGCUGCUGUGGGCUCAGGAAAUGUAGAAAAGCUCUGACUGCUCUGUUUCCCAGGUACCUGCACUACCAAGCGCUGAAGGCAUUGGAUGUAUAGCUAAUUGCCUCUCCCACUAUCCCUCAUUCACUAUAUAUAUGCAAAUAAAGAUAUUCUAAAACCCAAAAAAUCCAAAAACCAUUGUAGGUAAGGUAAUCUAAACUUGUACUUUAUAAACAAUUUAAAAAUUGCAUUUAGUAGAUUUAUAACAUUAUUAAAUCUUGAAUGCUCUGGGUAUAGGCCAAUCCACAUACCCCUUAGAAUGCUUUGACGUCUGCUACUCCAUCUUGGCCCUUAAGGAUUGCCUUUAGGGGGGCAGCUACAGGGCAGAUGAGGGAAUUGCUUGCCUUGAUGUUUCUUCAGUCCCCAAAUGUAUAGUAUUGCAGAAAGUGAGAUAUGGAAAAUCACUCACACCCAAAACACAUUUACUGCAUUCACAUUCCUUCGGUCACAUUCACUAAACUGUCUUUCUAAUGGUUUUAACUGAAGUUCUGAGUUACUGCAGUACUAGAAAUGUGAAGACAUUGCAUAUGAACAGGGUCAGGGUCUCCCCUCCCCACCAUGUUGGAUUUGCACUUGUGGGGGCACCUUGGUGUCUUUGUUUUUAGGCCUGUUCCUGGGGUUAUUUGGGGUGCUGAUUCAGAAAAUUGCAUUGGAUAGACCAUAUCAGCUCUAGAUUAUUAAAUAUGGUGUUCUGUGGGGGAGCAGAUGGUGACUACUGGAUGGGAUAUGUUCUGUAUCAGAAACUAGAGCUGAUGUUUAGUUUUGCCAAUGCAGUUUUCUGAAUCAGCACCCCAGAUAACCAAACUGAAUCUAAAGUUGACCAAAAACUUAUUUGUAACCAUUUUGGUACUACUGUUGGAGAAUGGUCCCUGGUCAAAGUGGCCCUAGUCAAGGGGUCCUGGGUCAAAAUGGUCCCUCAUCAAAAAAAAGGUUGGGAACCACUGUUGUAGAUAGCUCUUU